rnacentral:rRNA from 1 species
CUACACAUGCAGUCGAACGGUAACAGGAAGCAGCUUGCUGCUUCGCUGACGAGUGGCGGACGGGUGAGUAAUGUCUGGGAAACUGCCUGAUGGAGGGGGAUAACUACUGGAAACGGUAGCUAAUACCGCAUAACGUCGCAAGACCAAAGAGGGGGACCUUCGGGCCUCUUGCCAUCGGAUGUGCCCAGAUGGGAUUAGCUAGUAGGUGGGGUAACGGCUCACCUAGGCGACGAUCCCUAGCUGGUCUGAGAGGAUGACCAGCCACACUGGAACUGAGACACGGUCCAGACUCCUACGGGAGGCAGCAGUGGGGAAUAUUGCACAAUGGGCGCAAGCCUGAUGCAGCCAUGCCGCGUGUAUGAAGAAGGCCUUCGGGUUGUAAAGUACUUUCAGCGGGGAGGAAGGCGAUAAGGUUAAUAACCUUGUCGAUUGACGUUACCCGCAGAAGAAGCACCGGCUAACUCCGUGCCAGCAGCCGCGGUAAUACGGAGGGUGCAAGCGUUAAUCGGAAUUACUGGGCGUAAAGCGCACGCAGGCGGUCUGUCAAGUCGGAUGUGAAAUCCCCGGGCUCAACCUGGGAACUGCAUUCUAAACUGGCAGGCUAGAGUCUUGUAGAGGGGGGUAGAAUUCCACGUGUAGCGGUGAAAUGCGUAAAGAUCUGGAGGAAUACCCGUGGCGAAGCGGCCCCCUGGACAAAGACUGA